GACCCGUUAGCUCAGCAGGUAGAGCAAUUCCCUUUUAAGGAAUGGGUCGCUGGUUCGAAUCCAGCACGGGUCA
rnacentral:tRNA from 1 species